rnacentral:rRNA from 1 species
CGAGAGUUUGAUCCUGGCUCAGGAUGAACGCUAGCUACAGGCUUAACACAUGCAAGUCGAGGGGCAGCAUGGAAGAAGCUUGCUUCUUCUGAUGGCGACCGGCGCACGGGUGCGUAACGCGUAUCAAACCUGCCUCAUACUCGGGGAUAGCCUUGCGAAAGUAAGAUUAAUACCCGAUGUUGUUAUGUUACCGCAUGGUGAUAUAACCAAAGAUUUAUCGGUAUGAGAUGGUGAUGCGUCCGAUUAGGUAGUAGGCGGGGUAACGGCCCACCUAGCCUUCGAUCGGUAGGGGUUCUGAGAGGAAGGUCCCCCACACUGGAACUGAGACACGGUCCAGACUCCUACGGGAGGCAGCAGUGAGGAAUAUUGGUCAAUGGACGAAAGUCUGAACCAGCCAAGUAGCGUGCAGGAUGACGGCCCUCUGGGUUGUAAACUGCUUUUAGUUGGGAAUAAAAAAGAGGACGUGUCCUCUAUUGUAUGUACCUUCAGAAAAAGGACCGGCUAAUUCCGUG